rnacentral:rRNA from 1 species
GACGAACGCUGGCGGCGUGCUUAACACAUGCAAGUCGAACGGAAGGGCCCUGCUUUUGUGGGGUGCUCGAGUGGCGAACGGGUGAGUAACACGUGAGUAACCUGCCCUUGACUUUGGGAUAACUUCAGGAAACUGGGGCUAAUACCGGAUAGGAGCUCCUGCUGCAUGGUGGGGGUUGGAAAGUUUCGGCGGUUGGGGAUGGACUCGCGGCUUAUCAGCUUGUUGGUGGGGUAGUGGCUUACCAAGGCUUUGACGGGUAGCCGGCCUGAGAGGGUGACCGGCCACAUUGGGACUGAGAUACGGGCCCGACUCCUACGGGGGGCAGGAGUGGGGAAUAAUGCACCAUGGGCGGAAGCCUGAUGCAGCAACGCCGCGUGCGGGAUGACGGCCUUCGGGUUGUAAACCGCUUUCGCCUGUGACGAAGCGUGAGUGACGGUAAUGGGUAAAGAAGCACCGGCUAACUACGUG